AUAACACCUGGAAACAGAUGCUAAUACCGGAUAACAACAGAUGAUGCCUAUCAACUGUUUAAAAGAUGGUUCUGCUAUCACUCUUGGAUGGACCUGCGGUGCAUUAGCUAGUUGGUAGGGUAACGGCCUACCAAGGCGAUGAUGCAUAGCCGAGUUGAGAGACUUAUCGGCCACAUUGGGACUGAGACACGGCCCAAACUCCUACGGGAGGCAGCAGGC
rnacentral:rRNA from 1 species